UGGUUGUGUUAUAUGAGACUCACAUAAGUAUGUUCUUUUUGUUUCAUGCGUGUUAUUAUGAAUAUCAUUUAAGUUUUUCCAAGAGAAGCACAUUUGUGGCAACUGCAAGUUGAACAUCAGAAAACUAGGGCCAUAUACCAGCGUGGCUCAGUUCUAGUUUAAGUUUUUUUUUCAUGAAAUACCUCCUCACGAUUAUAUCUGCUUAUUAUCCUGCAGGCUGCAGCUAAAGAGAAUUUGUGUAUGUAGUCCCCGAUACUGGCCCCAACGCAUUGAGCUAGUCCCAGAAGAGAAAAAUUGGUGGAGCUUUGGGGACAAGAGUGACCCCUUCAAUUCUGGUGUUAUUUAUGUCAAGAGGAAGGUAGCUAGGAGCUUGUUCGUACGUUGAUGAUACAGUUGGGUGUCAGUCACUGCUUUCACGUGCAAUAUAUAAGGUUUUUGGUUUAAGAAGUCUUGGGGAAUCUAAUAGUCAUAGAGAACUGGAUUCUGAUAGUGUCGAUCACUUGGUCAGCACUUUCUCAUCGGAUCCAAGCCUAAUAGCCUUUGCACAGCUGUGCUGUGACAAAUCUUAGAAUAACACAAAUCUGAUUCUGAAUUCAAGGAGUUCUGUCUGCAAGUUUUUGACUGGAUAAGUAAAGGAUAUAUAGACCAGCUCUUUUGCAGGUUUAUUUAUCUUUGUGUACAACCAUUGGUUCAAUGGCUGAUCUGCUUGUCAAAAGCGAUAGUAACGUGUGUGAUUCACUUUCCAUCUCAUGUUCUCAAGGUUGCUCUUGCCUACAAGGAGGCGGUACGGUAUCAAGUGGAAUAUGUGGCUUUGUACAAUCGAUCUUCAUAGCAUCACUGAGAAAGAGAUGUGAAGAGAUAGAUAUUGAAUUAUCUAACGACAGAAGUAUAUGAUGAGUAUAAGUCGGUUCGGACUGAUGAAUUGAAUUAUGUAGUUUUUGGUUCGAGAUCUCACAAAUUACAAACACAUUGGUAUAAGCCCAUGAAGAUUAAAAUCGGCCCAAACCUAAUCUGAUGUAAUUUGGCCCAUUAGAAUUCUCGUUCAUAUAUAGCAAGUUUUAGGGCAAAAUUGGUAACGGUACGGAUCUUUCCUUUGCUGCUCCUGCUCGUCGUCGUCAAUCUGUGGAAUCGCCUCUCUGUGGAAUCGAACGUCUCUCAGGAUGAGUUUGGAUAUUCAGAGGUGCAGCUGUGAUAACAACAAGUUCAGCAUCUGUUACAAGUGUCCUCGUUGUGUCUCCACAACGAAUCUGGAGAUUUACCGGAGUGAACAGCUGACAAGCACGUGAACCAUGGUUCUCAAUAUCCGGAGGUGAAGGUGACUUGGGAGGAGGAUGCCGGGGCUCAGAUCCACAUCACCUGUAACUGUAGUGAAAAAAAUCGAAUUCAGUGGCAAAGGCAGGUCCGGAUCUAUUCAAGUGAUCUCUCAGUAGGGUUUUUUUUUUUUUUUUUUUUUUU